rnacentral:tRNA from 3 species
GGAGAGGUGGCAGAGUGGUCGAAUGCGGAGGUCUUGAAAACCUCUGACGGUUUACGCCGUCCGUGGGUUCGAAUCCCACCCUCUCCG